rnacentral:rRNA from 1 species
AUUGAACGCUGGCGGCAUGCUUUACACAUGCAAGUCGGUCGGCAGCACAGAGAAGCUUGCUUCUUGGGUGGCGAGUGGCGAACGGGUGAGUAACAUAUCGGAACGUACCGAGCAGUGGGGGAUAACUAAUCGAAAGAUUAGCUAAUACCGCAUAUCUUCUGAGGAAGAAAGCAGGGGACCAUUUGGCCUUGCGCUGUUUGAGCGGCCGAUAUCUGAUUAGCUAGUUGGUGGGGUAAAGGCCUACCAAGGCGACGAUCAGUAGCGGGUCUGAGAGGAUGAUCCGCCACACUGGGACUGAGACACGGCCCAGACUCCUACGGGAGGCAGCAGUGGGGAAUUUUGGACAAUGGGCGCAAGCCUGAUCCAGCCAUGCCGCGUGUCUGAAGAAGGCCUUCGGGUUGUAAAGGACUUUUGUCAGGGAAGAAAAGGGCGGGGUUAAUACCCCUGUCUGAUGACGGUACCUGAAGAAUAAGCACCGGCUAACUACGUG